UCUUCUCACCCUAGCUGACUCACUUCUUCUUUUUCCCAUUGCUGCCUCUUUCUCUCUUCUAAAUCAAAGAUUUUGUUCCUCAUAUCAACCACACCACUCAACUAUGGACUAUGAAGCACCAUUCUGGUCGAAACCGCUCCACCCAAAACCGAGAAGCACCCAGUGGUUCUGGGCCUGAGACUCAAACCCCCUCCACACACGUCUCUGGAUCGCCUCACCUCCUAUCUUAAUGACCAUUGAGGAUUUCGUUUCUCAACCGGGACGAGAACUUAUCGCAAAACUCCAUCCCAACUACAUCGGAGAUUCUACAUGGUUUGAGGCAUCUGGAAACGACAUUAGCAAAUCUGUAAACCGGAUGAUGUAUGGACUCCUCAAAGAACCUUAUGAAACAUACUCAUCAAUGCCAAGUCAUGACUGUAACGCCCACGAACCGCCGUACGGCCGGACAGGACCGUGGACCCGGAACGCCACAUUUGUGGGAAUCGCACCCUGGUGGUCCGGUCGAGGGACGGAAGCUGCAGCUUCCCGACCAGUCUUCUUGGACGCGACUCCGCCCGCGACUAGGUUCAAUUAGGCUUUGCAACCCUUGCGUCCCAUGCGCGUUGUGUUGACCCGAACAAAGCCGAGUACCAUAUGCAACUUGCCACGAUU